GCACAUUCACAAGUCGAGUCAAGUCAUUCAACCAAAAAAUUUAAAAAUUAGUUAUCAAAAAUUGUGAUUUUACAAUGGCUGUACCUAAAACUUCUUUAAUAUCUGUUUUGAUCUGCUUGACCUUGUUCAUCGUCGGCUUUAAUAUAUUCGAGGGUGAUUCCCAGUCGGAUCUAGCUGGCGUCUUGUUCUUGGCAUGGAUAGUUUUGAUGCUGGACAAGUUCCGCAUCUAUUUGCGCAUUUUCAAUCGACGGUGGAUUUUUCCGAUCGCUGUGGCGGUCUACUAUCUAUUCAGCCAAGUCGUAGUGUUCUUCAUGUGGGAUCCGAUAUGGUUUAGAAUCGAAAAUAUAAUGCACUGGGUCUUUUCGACGCGAUUUGUUUACACCAUCUAUUACAAGUUUCCAACGAUUGUCGUCUUUAUGAGGCGGCAAUCGCUGGCUUUAUUCAAGCUAGUCAUGAUGCUUCUAGUUUUCUACAAGACCCUGAAGAGUUAUCACAUCCCCGAAGAAAAAAAGAGAUACAGACGUGGAAUUCAUAAAGAAGCGUUAAGGGGCUUACUGUCUAAAACUGGAAAUCGAACUCCUCGCGUGUCCAACAGGCGGAAGAAGAAGCAGUAAAGACGUAAUGCCAAUAGACAAUUACCAAUGUACUUUUACAGGAUUUAUUAGUUUAGGUUUGGGUUACAGUAUAAGCUCGUUGAUUAUAUAUUCAGCAGUUGUACACUUGCAAUUGAGUACUACUUAAGUCGUUGUAUCUCAAAUGUACAGACGGUUGAUGGAACAAACAGAUCAAAUCACAUAUUUAAUGAGAUUUUUUACGAUUUAUGUAAUGUUUCACUAUAUAAGUUUCGGUUUUAGCACAAGCUAGUUUAUUAUAUGGCUAAUGGUUCGUGUCGGACGCUUCUCAUUUCAUUGGGUACUAUUUAAGUGAUGUUAUUUCCACCUUACAGACGAUUAAUGGAACAGACUAUUAUACGAUUACUUAUUGUGUUCUGUUAAACUUGUUGAUUCUCCAAUAUAUAACAAGUCAAACCAUGCGUUUUAAUGAACUUUAACAUGAUUUAUUUUUAUUUAUUAUUCAUUUGGUUUUACUGGAUUUCGGUUUGAACACAAGCUAGUUUCUUAUAUUGCCAGCAUGAUAAAUCCAAGACAUAGUUACGCAGUAAAUGAAAGUAUGCGCAUUUUACUAUUAAUUAUUUGUGCGAACAUAUUUUAAUGGACUUUGUAAUUACACGAUUUAUAAUUACAGGUUUCGGCUUUCGUUAGUUUGUGCCAUACAAUUAAUUCAGGUUAAAGUAAGGUUCAUUAAAGUAUACCCAUUUUCACACUUUUCACUUUUUGGGCGAUCGAUGGAGCAAACAUCAACAUAUGUCUUGUACUUUAUCUGAAGCAUUUAUAAUAGACGUUGAUUAUCUUUAUUUCGACAGUAAUACAAAUUGUCCCUCAAUUACAUUACAAUUGUCUACUAUUUAGGUUCGAGGUAGAUUUUAUCCGAUAUCUUUUUAAUACAAGCUCGUUAACUACGUUGCCAGUAAUCACAAGGCAUUAAUAUAAUUGGAUACUAUUUAACCCAUGGUAUCUUCAAUUGGUAAUUCGAAGUUAAUUUAAGCAUGCGCGUCUUACGAUUUUUCCGAACAAAUCAAAUCGCAUUAACACAGGUCGAUCAAAACUGAUUUUGACUGUGGUCAAUUUUAAGAAUCCGAAAUCGAAAACAUCUAACAGACGGAAGAAUUAAGCCGGAGUGCUUAGUCCGAGGCCGACAGUUUUGAUAUAUUUGGGGUCUCCCUAAUUGCUCGAACAAACAAAACAAAUCGAUGCACACCAUUUUAAUGGAAUUGGAUAAUAUUUCAUUCAUGGCAACUUCCAUACACAAAUAUUUGAUGGAAUAAGCAAAAGACUUUAAAAUAAUUGUGUCCUAUUUAGUCAGUUGAAUGCAAUGUAUAGGUUCGAAGUAAAUUAAAGUGUGAUUAUUUUUAAUAUAUUGUAAGAAAAAAAAUAAAAUAGUUCACAUAUGUUAUCUACUUAAUUCAAGACGGAAGAGUAAUAUAUUUAAAUAUUUGAAGGUUAGGCCGAAAUACUUGAACCACAUCUAAUGAACUACCUUUGGCUAUUGAAUGUCGCAUUUUCUGUAUGCAAAAGAAAAACAUGUUUGAUUUCGAGCUCUGCGGUAUUUAUCCAAACAAUGAGAAUUCGAUGAGAGAUUUCGUCUGGCAGUGUGCCAUGAAUCAUGUGACCAAAAGCGGACGUGCAUAGUGUUUUGAUUAUAAAAUACGAUUUUAAUGGAACCUGUUACCUAAUGCCUGAACAAAAGCGACUUGCAA